rnacentral:rRNA from 1 species
GUGGGGAAUUUUGGACAAUGGGGGCAACCCUGAUCCAGCCAUGCCGCGUGCGGGAAGAAGGCCUUCGGGUUGUAAACCGCUUUUGUCAGGGAAGAAAUCCUUUGGGUUAAUACCUCGGAGGGAUGACGGUACCUGAAGAAUAAGCACCGGCUAACUACGUGCCAGCAGCCGCGGUAAUACGUAGGGUGCGAGCGUUAAUCGGAAUUACUGGGCGUAAAGCGUGCGCAGACGGUUUUGUAAGAUCGAUGUGAAAUCCCCGGGCUCAACCUGGGAACUGCAUUGGUGACUGCAAGGCUGGAGUGCGGCAGAGGGGGAUGGAAUUCCGCGUGUAGCAGUGAAAGGCGUAGAUAUGCGGAGGAACACCGAUGGCGAAGGCAAUCCCCUGGGCCUGCACUGACGCUCAUGCACGAAAGCGUGGGGAGCAAACAGGAUUAGAAACCCGGGUAGUCC